rnacentral:rRNA from 1 species
AUAGCGUAUAUUUAAGUUGCUGCAGUUAAAAAGCUCGUAGUUGGAUUUCGGAUGGGUUCCGCCGGUCCGCCGUUUCGGUGUGCACUGACGGCGCCCAUCUUGCUGCCGGGGACGGGCUCCUGGGCUUAACUGUCCGGGACUCGGAGUCGGCGAGGUUACUUUGAGUAAAUUAGAGUGUUCAAAGCAGGCCUACGCUCUGAAUACAUUAGCAUGGAAUAACACGAUAGGACUCUGGCCUAUCUUGUUGGUCUGUAGGACCGGAGUAAUGAUUAAGAGGGACAGUCGGGGGCAUUCGUAUUUCAUUGUCAGAGGUGAAAUUCUUGGAUUUAUGAAAGACGAACUACUG